GAUGAACGCUGGCGGCGUGCCUAAUACAUGCAAGUCGAGCGAACAGACGAGGAGCUUGCUCCUCUGACGUUAGCGGCGGACGUGUGAGUAACACGUGGAUAACCUACCUAUAAGACUGGGAUAACUUCGGGAAACCGGAGCCAAUACCGGAUAAUAUAUUGAACCGCAUGGCUCAAUAUUGAAAGACGGUUUUGCUGUCACUUAUACAUGGAUCCGCGCCGCAUUAGCUAGUUGGUAAGGUAACGGCUUACCAAGGCAACGAUGCGUAGCCGACCUGAGAGGGUGAUCGGCCACACAAGAACUGAGACCCGGUCCAGACUCCUACGGGAGGCAGCAGUCGGGAAUCUUCCGCCAUGGGCGAAAGCCUGACCGAGCAACGCCGCGUGAGUGAUGAAGGUCUUCGGAUCGUAGAACUCUGUUAUUAGGGAAGAACGAAUGUGUCAGUAACUAUGCACGUCUUGACGGUACCUAAUCAGAAAGCCACGGCUAACCACGUG
rnacentral:rRNA from 1 species